CAAUAGUCAAGGGCAAGGUAAAAUCUGUGUUGAGGAAAAAAAACCGGAUAAGAGACUCAAUGAGAACAAGAAAUUUAUAACAAUACGUUUGCAAGAGUUCUGCCAAGUUGGGGAAACAGAAAAACUUUGGUGAACUUAGUAUUACUUCUCCCAAUAGUUCUGGUAUUUUUAAUCUAUGAUUAUUCAUGGGUAUGCUAGUAUGGAGCAGUAGUUGAGCUUUCGUGGAACCAUAUUUACAAUAUCAAGAAAUCAUAAGCUGCUACAACUAUUUCGGGGGCCGCUGAAGAAGUUGGACAUAUACGUGGUACUUGGCUACGAAAAGAAGAAGGAACUGCAAGAAAUCAUGAAUGACAAGACGAAGGUCCAGAAGAAUACACCAUGCAUUCAUAUGUCCGCCAAAGACUUCACGAAUAUGACAAAUAUGCAUAAGUGGUACAUGGACAAUGCAAUUAACGUACCCGGAUGUGUAUGAUGCUGCCGAUAGGAUAAUGGACCUCAACUUCUACAACAAUUUCAAGGAUAGGUACGAUGAUCUCUGCAGGUGAUCUGGUCCCUGUGGCCGUAGAUUUAAUAAGUUAGUUUCUACGUUUGAAUAGGAUGAAGACAUGAUUAAAUAUGUUAGAGGUAAGAGGCUAUAUCCACACGACAAGAGCUGGACCAAGGCAAAGAGAAUCCUUCUAGUCAUAAACGUGAAAGUAAAUAUUUUCUCGCUGUUGAGAUACUACUCGAUGAGGGAAAGAUUAAGGUUUAUGACUGCAACUUACCUGUUUUCCUUGAUGACAUAUUAUUAACCCAUGUGCAGUGUAAUACCCCAAAAAAUUUUUCAUUGAAAUUUUGUGCGUAAACGUGUUGGGUUCUAUCUUCUAGAAUGAAUUAUAAAUUUUUCA